rnacentral:sRNA from 1 species
GCGCAUGCGCAGUUUCCUACAGUCCCGGAAACGGACCGUGUUGGGUGAAGGUGACGGCGUCGAGCAAAGGCGGGAGACAAUGCAUUGGAGCUGCAAAUCUUCUCUGAGUCUGAAGCAUCCUGCCUGAUGCGUUUGCUCACAUUGACCCAUGCCUUCCCUCAGUCCCUCUCAUCUCUACUGAGAUUCCGUCUCACCCUGACCCUGUGACAUGAACUUCUGAAGAGUCCACUGGGCAUGGUCCUGGGAAGGGCUCACACCCAGACAUGGAUGGAGAUGGGUUGACAUUCAGGGACGUGGCCAUCGAAUUCUCUCAAGACGAGUGGAAAUGCCUGAACUCUACACAGAGGACUUUAUACAGGGAUGUGAUGUUGGAGAACUACAGGAACCUGGUCUCCCUGGAUCCAUCUGUGAUAGCCUGUCUUCUUAUCCAAGCAAAGGGCUGAGAUUCUUGAAAAGCCACAGCACAUCAUGUUCCAUUCAUUUUAUAAGCAGGAAAUUCUCUUCCUGACCAGUGUAUUAUCCCAUGUGGGAGCACAGGAA